AUCAAACAUGUCGCUAAUCUUCCUGACUUUUCAGGGUCAAAGGUCAAACGCUAGAAUUAAAAUUAUUUACAAAAGCAUGAUAAUCAAUAAAUAACAGCCUGUUUCACCAUUAAGCACAACAGGACACAAGCAAAGCGUCAUGAUAACAGAAGGAGAGGACGCACGUACAAACACAGUGAACCUUCAUCGUGACUGUCAGAGGAAAAAGUCAUGUGUAUUUUGUACAUAUCUAAAUGACGAAGACUUAAAGAGCACCUUGGAAGGUAAAUGACUGCGCCGCUCUCACGUGUCAGGCGGCAGCAGAAGAAGAAGCAGCAGCAUAUCUGAGGGGUUUUUUUCUGCUCUUGCCAAACAUGAACUUGGAGAGGAAUCAGGGUUCUGCAAUUUCGUGUCGAAAGGCCCGACACUAUCACCAGGACGAAGGUUAAUGAGGGGGAAAGAUUCAACGAUUCUGAAUUCACCGCGCCUUUGACUGACAUCUCACUGUGUCUCUGUGGCAACGACAGCUGAGGCUCACAGUGUUCAGAAACUAUAUUAAAUAAUAAAAACCGUAAAUGAAACAUA